CUCAUUUUCCGUCAUCGUACAAAAACCCCCCUCUGCCCAGGAGUUGAUCAUCUUUAGUUCUCAGAAAGAGAGGUGAAGUUAUUGGUGCGUACUUUCUCAUCUGAGUAGUCUACAAACUGCAGGUUCUUGCUGAAACAACAUCUCUGAUAUUCUCAGAGACAUAAAAGGACAUGGAUAUGAAGCCUCUGAUGAUUCUCCUCCUGCUAGCAGUUGCAGCAAACUUGCAAGGAAUCCCCACCACCACUCCUGCAGCAGCUGCUACCACCACCACCCCUGCAGCAGCUGUCACCACCACCACUCCUGCAGCAGCUGUCACCACCACCACUCCUGCAGCAGCUGUCACCACCACCACUGCUGCAGCAGCUGUCACCACCACCACUCCUGCAGCAGCUGUCACCACCACUACUCCUGC